rnacentral:rRNA from 1 species
GAGAUGUUGGGUUAAGUCCCGCAACGAGCGCAACCCUUAUUGUUAGUUGCUACCAUUUAGUUGAGCACUCUAGCGAGACUGCCCGGGUUAACCGGGAGGAAGGUGGGGAUGACGUCAAAUCAUCAUGCCCCUUAUGUCUAGGGCUACACACGUGCUACAAUGGUCGGUACAAUGAGAUGCAACCUCGCGAGAGUGAGCAAAACUAUAAAACCGAUCUCAGUUCGGAUUGUAGGCUGAAACUCGCCUACAUGAAGCUGGAGUUGCUAGUAAUCGCGAAUCAGAAUGUCGCGGUGAAUACGUUCCCGGGCCUUGUACACACCGCCCGUCACACCAUGAGAGUUGGCAAUACCCAAAGUUCGUGAGCUAACCGCAAGGAGGCAGCGACCUAAGGUAGGGUCAGCGAUUGGGGUGAAGUCGUAACAAGGUAGCCGUAGGAGAACCUGCGGCUGGAUCACCUCCUUUCUAUGGA